rnacentral:rRNA from 1 species
AUUGAACGCUGGCGGCAGGCUUAACACAUGCAAGUCGAGCGGAGAUGAGGUGCUUGCACCUUAUCUUAGCGGCGGACGGGUGAGUAAUGCUUAGGAAUCUGCCAUUUAGUGGGGGACAACAUUCCGAAAGGAAUGCUAAUACCGCAUACGUCCUACGGGAGAAAGCAGGGGAUCUUCGGACCUAGCGCUAAAUGAUGAGCCUAAGUCGGAUUAGCUAGUUGGUGGGGUAAAGGCCUACCAAGGCGACGAUCUGUAGCGGGUCUGAGAGGAUGAUCCGCCACACUGGGACUGAGACACGGCCCAGACUCCUACGGGAGGCAGCAGUGGGGAAUAUUGGACAAUGGGGGGAACCCUGAUCCAGCCAUGCCGCGUGUGUGAAGAAGGCCUUAUGGUUGUAAAGCACUUUAAGCGAGGAGGAGGCUACUGAGACUAAUACUCUUGGAUAGUGGACGUUACUCGCAGAAUAAGCACCGGCUAACUCUGU